rnacentral:rRNA from 1 species
UUAGGUAGUUGGCGGGGUAACGGCCCACCAAGCCGACGAUCAGUAGCCGACCUGAGAGGGUGACCGGCCACAUUGGGACUGAGACACGGCCCAAACUCCUACGGGAGGCAGCAGUGGGGAAUAUUGCGCAAUGGGGGCAACCCUGACGCAGCAACGCCGCGUGAACGAUGAAGGUCUUCGGAUUGUAAAGUUCUUUUAUUAAGGACGAAGAAGUGACGGUACUUAAUGAAUAAGCUCCGGCUAACUACGUGCCAGCAGCCGCGGUAAUACGUAGGGAGCAAGCGUUGUCCGGAUUUACUGGCACUAAAGGGUGCGUAGGCGGCAGAGCAAGUCAGAUGUGAAAUCCACGGGCUUAACUCGUGAACUGCAUUUGAAACUACUUUUCUUGAGUAUCGGAGAGGCAAUCGGAAUUCCUAGUGUAGCGGUGAAAUGCGUAGAUAUUAGGAGGAACACCAGUGGCGAAGGCGGAUUGCUGGACGACAACUGACGGUGAGGCGCGAAAGCGUGGGGAGCAAACAGGAUUA